rnacentral:rRNA from 1 species
GACGAACGCUGGCGGCGUGCUUAACACAUGCAAGUCGAACGGAAAGGCCCUGCUUUUGUGGGGUGCUCGAGUGGCGAACGGGUGAGUAACACGUGAAUAACCUGCCCUUGACUUUGGGAUAACUUCAGGAAACUGGGGCUAAUACCGGAUAGGAGCUCCUGCUGCAUGGUGGGGGUUGGAAAGUUUCGGCGGUUGGGGAUGGACUCGCGGCUUAUCAGCUUGUUGGUGGGGUAGUGGCUUACCAAGGCUUUGACGGGUAGCCGGCCUGAGAGGGUGACCGGCCACAUUGGGACUGAGAUACGGCCCAGACUCCUACGGGAGGCAGCAGUGGGGAAUAUUGCACAAUGGGCGGAAGCCUGAUGCAGCAACGCCGCGUGCGGGAUGACGGCCUUCGGGUUGUAAACCGCUUUCGCCUAUGACGAAGCGUGAGUGACGGUAAUGGGUAAAGAAGCACCGGCUAACUACGUG